UGUUGAGCAAUUAUGUGGGAGACUAGUAGCGGUGCGCGCGUGCUUGACAAAGCAAUUGUGCAUGCGGAAAACGAUCAUUGUCUUGAUUGAUGCUCUACCCUUCAAAUGGUGUCGAUUAUAAAGC
ensembl:ncRNA F40F4.10 ncRNA